rnacentral:lncRNA from 10 species
UCCCCCAUGUCUCCAAGGCAGGCAACUGAGCCACCCCCACCUUUGCAUGACCAGGCCCAUAAAAACCCCAGAGUCGGCCAAACUGGAGCAGAGGAUGGAGAGACAAAGGGAGAUGAUGAGAUGACCAGCUGCAGAGAGGAGCUGACCACCCCAGGGUUUCCUGUCUGCUGAGAACCAAGGAGAUGAUAGGACGACCAGCUGCAGGGAGAAACUACCCUCUCUGCUAAGAGCUGGGCACUUGACGGGAUGACCUGCCUAGCAGAGAGGAGAUACCCUCUCUGCUGAGAGCUGAAGAGAUGACUGGGUGACCACCUGCAGAGAGGAACUACCCUCUCUGCUGAGAGCUUGACACUCAUUGGGAAACCCUGCUAUGGAGAGGAGCUGCCCAUUGCAGGUCUCCUCUGAGCUGUUCUAUUGUGC